ACUAUUAGGGCGGCAGCAGCCACCGCACGCAGACAUGCGGGCCAGACUAAAACAGUGAGGUCAAGUUGUUUGGACAAAAAGGCUACAGGGUGUGGUCCUGGUCCUUGUGUAAGAAUUCCAACCACACAGCCCUGCACUUCGACUCUGUGUAAUAGAAAGGGUUGGGAUGAAUCAGGGAGAACUGUGUGGGAACAGUUUCUAGACCUGUUUUCAAGGAACAGAAAGAGGAGUGGGGAAAGGAUUUAGGAUCUAUGGGGUCAGCUAGGUUUCCCUUUGUGAGUUUAUAUAAUGGUUUUGUUAGGAUGGCAAAACCAGGUAUCCAAAGGCGAAAGUAUCUAACCAUGCCCAGGAAGGAAAGGAGUUGUUGUUUUGUAGAAGGGGUUGGGGUUUGAGAGAUCAGCCAGACACGAUUGGCAGGGAGAGCACGCGUGUUUUUAUGAAGAAUUAUGCCGAGGUAGGUAACAGAUGGAGAAGAAAUUUGAGCUUUGGAGGGGAUAUCCAAUAUCCCUUGGAGAAUAAAUGUUGGAGGAGCAGGAGAGUAUCUUGCUAAGAAGAUUCAAAGGAGCGGCUACAAAGUAGAAGGUCAUCAAUAUAUUGAAUAAGCAUCUGGUGAAGACGGUGGCCACUGUUGCUGAACUGAGUGGAAUGACUCCUCCUGUCCCUGCUCACUCUGGGAGGAAUGUCCCGGGUCAUCUCAUCAUGGUUUACAGCAGGGCAUUUUCCUCCUCCCCUCCAGAGACAGUGCCAGACUCAGCAGGCACUGAGCUGGGCACCCAGUCCUGGGCGUUAAAGAUGAACAAGAUAGCUGCAAGCUUUUUCUCAUGGAAGCAAUUGAACAAGGAAUAUUUAACACACUCAGCUUCUCGUGGCUAAAGACACCGACUCCAGUGCUGCCUCUCCAGGAUCAGUGACAGACCCCGAGGUUCUGGAGCCGGGAAAAAACCAUGACAUUGUGCAGGUAGAUGAAAUGCCGCGUUGUGCGGGUGAGGACCCCGAGACUCCGAAAUGGCACGAGGCACAUCCCGGCUGCACAGCUCAUGCCUUGGCCCCUUAUGGAGACCCCAGUCCAGGGUCUGAAGAGGAUGACCGUUUCUGGAUAUGUUGCACUUUGCCCUCAUUUUGGACUAAUAAGAAGAGGUUCUUUCUCUCGGGAGGCUGCCAGCAUGGAACACUGGGGAGGACGCCCUCACUGAGUUUUGUGGCCCUGUCCAAACUCCAGCCGCCUGCACGUCUCAGACUGUAAAUGUCUCUUUUGUCAUCCAGAGUGGCACUUCCAGUGGGAUGGCCCGGUGACACUCCUCACCUUGAGACGGGGAGUCGGUGGCUCUCACUGGCGCUGGGUGUAUUCACAGCUUGGCGAUGCAACCAGCCCUUCUGCUCCACUGCCUUAUCUGUCUCUGGCAAGCUCACCGUCCACGCCGAGGAGUCCCCACAUUGCCACAUUGGCAAAGAGGAUGCAGGCACAGAGCAGGGAGAAAGCGCUCUCUCCAGGGGAAGCCCCUCUGCUUCCCUCUCCUUGAGCUUUUUUCCCUCCACAUCCCUGUUCAAGGCUGUUACAAAGCAAUGUCUUUUAAAGCACAAGCACUUCUCACAUUUUGCACGAUUCCACGCUCCUCCAGCAUGGUGUGAUACCAAUACGUUAGGAAUCAUGCCCUGUGGAUGUCCUUCCAGCUGAAAACAGGAGCUUAAGAAAAUGAAAAAGACGUAAAGACACUGAAUUGCAGCCUCGCUUCUGAAUGCUCACAGGGGCUUGCUGGGAACCUCGGCGGCGGAAACAGACCCCGUCAGUCAUGCUCUAGAGAAUUGUGUCUUUAAGCAGUAACAGGGGCUUGCUGGGAACCUUGGUGGGGGAAACAGCCCCCCAUAUACAUAUACAUAGGUAUAUAUAUGUGCAUAUACACGGACCACAGCUCCUGUUCUGUGGUCCCCUCUCUAGGAGCCUCCCUCCUCCCCUGCUGUGCUCCCCUCCCCAGAGGCCUUGCUCCUCUCCUGCUGUGCUCUCCUCCCCAGUCGGUGCCUCACUCCUGGCCCCUGGCACCUGCACAAGCAAAGGCCCUUCUGUUACUUUUCACCUCUGGCCUCUGCCGCUUGCUCUUCUGGUCCUAAGUCAGUUUUUCCCGGCUUGCUUCAUCAUUUCAACUCCAUUGGUUCAGUACUUAACACAGUGCCUCUGAACAGGUAAAUUAAAAAAAAAAAUGUCUUGAC